rnacentral:rRNA from 1 species
CCCUAUGAAUUGUUUAAAUGGCCGCGGUUUUCCGUGCUAAGGUAGCAUAAUAGUUUGCCCUUUAAUUGAGGGAUGGAAUGAAUGGUGUGACGGAGAUUAGCUGUCUUUAUAUUAUAAAUGAAAUUUCUUUGUUGGUGAAAAAGCCAACUUCUAAGUAAAAGACGAGAAGACCCUAUUGAGCUUAAUUAGGUUGAUGAGCUUUUUUCAGUUGAAGUUUAAUUGGGACUAUUAGGGAACAAUAUUAGAUUCUCUUUAUUAUAUUAGGAUGAGUUUUAUUACUUUGGAAGAAAAAGCUACCAUAGGGAUAACAGCGUUAUCUUUCAUGAGAGAUCAAAUUGAAUGAAGG